CACGUAGGGUGCGAGCGUUAAUCGGAAUUACUGGGCGUAAAGCGUGCGCAGGCGGUGAUGUAAGACAGAUGUGAAAUCCCCGGGCUCAACCUGGGAACUGCAUUUGUGACUGCAUCGCUGGAGUGCGGCAGAGGGGGAUGGAAUUCCGCGUGUAGCAGUGAAAUGCGUAGAUAUGCGGAGGAACACCGAUGGCGAAGGCAAUCCCCUGGGCCUGCACUGACGCUCAUGCACGAAAGCGUGGGGAGCAAACAGG
rnacentral:rRNA from 1 species